rnacentral:rRNA from 1 species
GACGAACGCUGGCGGCGUGCCUAAUACAUGCAAGUCGAACGCAGUGGGGACGGGUGAGUAACACGUGGGUAACCUCCCAUCAGAGGGGAUAACACUUGGAAACAGGUGCUAAACCGAUACUGAUGGAUGGACCCGCGGUGCAUUAGCUAGUUGGUGAGGUAACGGCUCACCAAGGCCACGAUGCAUAGCCGACCGGAGAGGGUGAUCGGCCACCAUGGGAAUGAGACACGGCCCAGAAUCCUACGGGGUGCAGCAGGAGGGAAUCUUGUGCAAUGGGCGAAAGGCUGACCGAGCAACGCCGGGUGAGUGAAGAAGGUUUUCGGAUCGUAAAACUCUGUUGUUAAGGAAGCGGUACUUAACCAGAAAGGGACGGCUAACUACGUGCCAGCAGCCGCGGUAAUAC